rnacentral:rRNA from 1 species
UGCAGAGAACUUUCCUAGAGAUGGAUUGGUGCCUUCGGGAACUCUGACACAGGUGCUGCAUGGCUGUCGUCAGCUCGUGUCGUGACGAUGUUGGGUUAAGUCCCGUAACGAGCGCAACCCUUGUCCUUAGUUACCAGCACGUUAUGGUGGGCACUCUAAGGAGACUGCCGGUGACAAACCGGAGGAAGGUGGGGAUGACGUCAAGUCAUCAUGGCCCUUACGGCCUGGGCUACACACGUGCUACAAUGGUCGGUACAAAGGGUUGCCAAGCCGCGAGGUGGAGCUAAUCCCAUAAAACCGAUCGUAGUCCGGAUCGCAGUCUGCAACUCGACUGCGUGAAGUCGGAAUCGCUAGUAAUCGUGAAUCAGAAUGUCACGGUGAAUACGUUCCCGGGCCUU